rnacentral:rRNA from 1 species
AAUAUUGGACAAUGGGGGCAACCCUGAUCCAGCCAUGCCGCGUGUGUGAAGAAGGUCUUCGGAUUGUACAGCACUUUAAGUUGGGAGGAGUGGCUUUAGGCUAAUACCCUGAAGUUUUGACGUUACCAACUUAAUAAGACCUGGCUACCUCUGUCCCAGCAGCCGCGGUAAUACAGAGGGUGCAAGCGUUAAUCGGAAUUACUGGUCGUAAAGCGCGCGUAGGUGGUUCAGUAAGAUGGGUGUGAAAUCCCCGGGCUUAACCUGGGAACUGCUUUCACAACUGCUGAGCUAGAGUACGGUAGAGGGUAGUGGAAUUUCCUGUGUAGCGGUGAAAUGCGUAGAUAUAGGAAGGAACACCAGUGGCGAAGGCGACUACCUGGACUGAUACUGACACUGAGGUGCGAAAGCGUGGGGAGCAAA